rnacentral:lncRNA from 1 species
UGACAAGGUAACCUAAUUCUAUUAUGAUAAAUAUGAAGGUAUCCACUUAUUAGUGUGCAAAUGAAGGGACUACACAGCCAAACUAUGACUAGUGGUGUACAUUGGUUUGAAAGGUCAUGGCAGAACAAAAGGGAGGCAGGAGCCCUGUAGAUAUCAUGAUCACAUAAAUCUCACUUUGUCAUGAUAUUUAGCCCUUUUUUUAAUGUUGCUGGAUUUUUAUUUUAUUUUAUACUUUGUUAAAGAUUUUCAUGUGUAUGUUCUUGAGAGAUAUUGGUCUCUUGUUUUCCCAUGCUCUCUGUCUUGCUUUGGUAAAAGGGUAAUACCAGUCCCAUAGGGUGAGUUGGAAAGUGUUUCCUUGCCUGUGUUUUCUGAAAGAAUUGGUGUAGCAUUGGUAUUACUUCUUCUUUAUAUAUUGGAUGGAGUUUACUAGGUGAAGGCAUCUAGCCUGGGCUGGUGGUGGGGGUGGUGCAGAAGUGUGGAUUUUAAGUAAUGUAUUUUCUUGUUAUAGAGCUAUUCAUAAUUUCCAUUUUUUCUUUAGUCAGUUUUGGUAGUUUUUGGUUUUUGAGGAAUUUGGCUAUUUUAUCUAAAUUGUCUAAUUUGUUGACACAGUUAGCCAUAGUAUUCUCAUAAUCCUUUCAUUUCAGUAGGCUUGAUAAUGAUGUCCCCCUUUCAUUCCUGAUUUUGGUAUUCUGUGUCAUCUCAUUUUUUUCUUAGUCUAUCUAAAGGUUUAUCAGAUUAGUUGAUUUGUUUUCCCCCAAAGAACUUUUGGGUUCUUCUCUUUUCUCUUGUUUUUCUAUUGCCAAUUUCAUUGAUUUUUCCCUCUUCCUUCUGUUUGCUUUAUGUCUAAUUAACUGUUCUUUGUUCUUUUUUUUAAAAUUUAUUUAUUUUUGAGAUGGAGACUUGCUCUGUCGCCAGGCUGGAGUGAAGUGGCGCGAUCUUGGCUCAUUGCAACCUCCGUCUCCCGGGUUCAAGCAAUUCUCCUGCCUCAGCCUCCCGAGUAGCUGGGACUACAGGCGUGUGCCGCCAUGCCCAGCUAAUUUUUGUAUUUUUAGUAGAGACAUCGUUUCACCAUAUUGGCAAGGCUGUUCUUGAACUCCUGACCUCAAGUGAUCCGCCCACCUCCGCCUCCCAAAGUGCUGGGAUUACAGGCAUGAGCCACCACGCCUGGCCCUUCAUCGAUUCUUAAAGUGAAAGUUUAGAUUAUUGAUAUGAAACUGUUCUCUAUUGAUAUAGAUGUAUAAAGCUCUGAAUUUCUCUCUAAGCACUGUUUAAGUUGCACCUCAUAUGUUUUGAUAUGUUGUAUUGUUGUUUUCAUUUAGUUCAAAAUAUUUUCAAACUUCCCUUGCGAUUUUUCUUUUGACCCACAGAUUAUUUAGAAGUAUGUUACUUCAUUUCUAAGAAUUGCAGAUUUUCAAAGUUUCUUUCUUAUUUAUUUUUAAUUUACUUGUUUUCAGAUAAUAUACUUUGAAUGAUUUCCAUCCUUUUAAAUUUCUUGAGACUUGUUUUAUGGCCUGGCAUAUGGCCUAUCCUGGAAUGUUUCACAUGCACCUGAAAAGAAUGUAUAUUCUGCUCUUUUUGGAUGGAGUAUUCAAAAAUGUCAGUUCAAGUUGGUUGAUAGCAUUGUUCAAGUCUGCUAUAGCCUUGCUGAUUUUAUUCCUAUUUGUUCAACUGGUUAUUAAGAGUGAGAUAUUGUAAUCUCUGGCUGUAAUUGUUAAACUUUUUUCUUUCAAUUCUGUCAGUUCUUGCUUCAUGUAUUUUGAAGCUUUGUUGUUAGGUAUAUAUACCUUUAUAUCUGUUAUGCCUUUCAGAUGAAUUGGCCCUUUAUUAUUUUAAAAUAUCCCUCUUUGUAUCUACUAUAUUUCUUGUUUUAAAAGUCCAUUGUGUCUAUAAUUACUACAGCCACUGCAGCUCUCUUAUGAUUACUGUUUGCAUGGCAUGUCUUUCUGUUUUUUUCCUUUUAACCUAUUUGUAUCUUUUAAUUUGAAGUGAGUCUCUGGAAGACAGUAUAGUGCUGGAUGUUGCUUUUUUUUUUUUUAUCAGAGAAGCUUUGAUUGGAGUUUUUAGGUGCAUUAAAAUUUACUACAAUUUUGUUAGGUUUGCAUUUUCCAUUUUGCUAUUUGGUUACUGUGUAUCUUUCGUUAUUGAAUUGCUCUUUUAUUGCCUUCUUCUGCAUUAAACAGAUAUUUAUGAGGGUACCAUUUUAGUUUUUUUAACCUUUUUUUUUUUAGCUAUUUUUCUAAGUGGUGUCUCUACUUAUCAUAGGUAUCUUAACUUACUACGGCCUACUUCACAUGAAUAUUGACUAACUUCUGGUACAAUAUAGCAACUUUGCCCCAGUUUAGCUUCAUUUCCUUGCCCCUCCUUUGUGCUAUUAUGUCUUAUAUAUGUAUGUGUGUAUAUAUAUAUAUAUGUAUAUGUAUAUAUGUAUAUAUUACAGUGUUAUAAUUAUUGCUUUAUACAAUAAAGCAAUAUGUCUUCUAAAGAAUUUAAUAGAAGAAAUGUAUAUUUAUAGUUCUUUAUAUUUACUGACGUAGUAAUCAUUUCUGCUGCUCUUUCUUUGUUCCCAUGGAUUCUAGUUGCCAGGUCUGUUGUCAUUUCCUUUCAUCUAUAUUCUACUUCCUUUAGUAUUCCAAGUAAGGCAAGUAUGCCAGCAACAAAUUCUCUCAGUCUUUGUGGAUUUUGGAAUAUAUUUCAAAUUUAUAUAUGAAGGACAGUAUGUGAUAUAUUUAGAGUUCUCGGUUGACUUUUUUCCUCCAGCAUUUUGAAUAUGUCAUUCCACUGCCUUAUGGUCACCACUAUUCAUGAUGAAAAGUCAACUGUUAAUCCUGUUGUUCUUUAUAUAUGAUGAAUUGUUUUUCUUAUACUGUUUUUAAGAUUUUCUCUUUGGCUUUCAACAGUCUGAGCAUGGUGUGUCUAGGUCUGAAUUUGUGUUUAUCCUACUUAGAGUCUGUUGAGCUUCUAGGAUUUCUAGAUUUAUCCUUUUAAUACAAUUUAGGCAGUUUUUUGGCCACUAUUUCUUCAAUUAUUUUUUUCUGUCCUCGUUUCCUCUUUCUGGGGCUUUCAUAUACAUUAAUAUGCUUACCAUUGUGUCACAGGUCUUUGAGGCACUGUGCAUUCUUCUUUAAUCAUUAUUGUUUUUCAUAUUGGAUAAUUUUAUUAAUCUAUGUGCAAGUUUCCUGAUCCUUCUGCCAUCUCAAUUCUGCUGUUUAGCCUAUCUAGGAAUUUUCAUUUCAGCUAUUGAACUUUCUGACUCUAGAAUUUUCAUUUGGCUCUUUUUAAAUUGAUGCAUAAUAGUUGUACAUAUUUUGGGGAUAGACAUAUUUUGAUACAUGCAUGCAAUGUGUAAUGAUCGACCAGGGCAACUGGGACAUCCAUCACCCCAAACAGUCACCCCUUCUUUAUAUUGGGAACCUGCCAAUUCCUCCAGCAAUUUUGAACUUUACAACAAAUUAUUGUUAACUAUAGUUACCCUACUAUACUAGAGUGGUUGGUUAAUGGAUACAAAAACAUCAUUUUAUAUAUAUGUAUGUAUAUAUUUUAAGACAGUAUAUCACUCUGUCUCCCAGGCUGGAGUACAGUGGUGCAGUCAUGGCAGCCUUGAACUCCUGGGCUCAAGUGAUCCUCCCCGCUCAGCCUCCCAAGUAGCUGGGACUACAGGUGUAUGCCACCAUGCCUGGCUAAUUUUUUUUUUUUAAUUAUAAGUAAGGGAUCUCACCAUGUUGCCCAGGCUGAUCUCGAACUCCUGGCCUCCCAAAGUGCUGAAAUUUUAAGCAUGAGCCACCAGACCUGGCCACAUUUGGCUCUUUAAUAGUUACUUGUUUAAAAAUAGCUACAAAGCAGCUAUUACAAAUGUGUUUUAAAAAUUAAGGUAAAAUGUUUAAAGAAUUAAAAGCAUGACUUUUUUUUUAACCAGAGAUUCAUCAUUGAUCAUGUAUUCUUUUUUUUUCCUUUACUCUAAAAAAAAAAAAUACAUGUGCAGAACAUGCAGAUUUGUUACCUAGGUAUAUGUGUGCCAUGGUGGUUUGCUGCACCUAUUGACCCAUCCUCUUAAGUUCCCUCCCCUCACCCCAAACCCCCAACAGGCCCUGGUGUGUGUUGUUCCCCUCUCUGUGUCCAUGUGUUCCCAAUGUUCAGCUCCCAAUGUUCUCACUCACUUAUGAGUGAGAACAUGCAGUGUUUUGUUUCCUGUUCCUGUGAUAGUUUGCUGAGGAUGAUGGCUUCUAGCUUCAUCCACAUCCCUUGCAAAGGACAUGAUCUCAUUCUUUUUUAUGGCUGCAUAGUAUUCCAUGGUGUGUAUGUACCACAUUUUCUUUAUCUAGUCUAUCAUUAAUGGGCAUUUGAGUUGGUUCCAUGUCUUUGCUAUUGUAAAUAGUGCUGCAGGAAACAUACGUGUGCAUGUGUAUUUAUAGCAGAUUGAUUCAUAAUCCUUUGACUAUAUACCCAGUAAUGGGAUUGCCUGGUCAGAUGGUAUUUCUGUUUCCAGAUCCUUGAGGAAUCGCCAUACUGUCUUCCACAAUGGUUGAACUAAUUUACAUUCCCACCAACAGUGGAAAAGCAUUCCUAUUUCUCCUCAACCUCGCCAGCAACUAUUGUUUCCUGACUUUUUAAUAAUCACGUGAGAUGAUUGGCGUGAGAUGGUAUCUCAUUGUGGUUUUGAUUUGCAUUUCUCUAAUGACCAGUGAUGUUGAGCUUUUUUCAUAUGUUUGUUGGUCACAUAAAUGUCUCCUUUUUAGAAGUGUCUGUUCAUGUCCUUUGCCCACUUUUUGUUGGGGUUGUUUGUUUCUUGUUGGGGUUGUUUAAGUUCCUUGUAAAUCUGGAUAUUAGACCUUUGUCAGAUGGGUAGAUUGCAAAAGUUUUCUCCCAUUCUGUAGGUUGCCUGUUCACUCUGAUGAUAGUUUAUUUUGCUGUGCAGAAGCUCUUUAGCUUAAUUAGAUCCCAUUUGUCAAUUCUGGUUUUUGUUGCAAUUGCUUUUGGCGUUUUUGUCAUAAAGUCUUUUCCUAUGCCUAUGUCCUAAAUGGUAUUGCCUAGGUUUUCUUCUAGGGUUUUUAUGGUUUUGGGUUUUACAUUUAAGUCUUUAAUCCAUCUUGAGUUAAUUUUUGUAUAAGGUGUAAGGAAGGGGUCCAGUUUCAGUUUUCUGCAUAUGGCUAGCCAGUUCUCCCAGCACCAUUUACUGAAUAGGAGAUCCUUUCCCCAUUGCUCGUUUUCGUCAGGAAAAACGUGACUAUUUUAAAAUAGCAACUAUAAUACAAUAUUCCCUGUUGAGUCAUUGUCAUCAUAUUUUCAUCUUAUUUUUUUCUUUUCCAUAUAUUUUUCUGGUAAAUAUUUUUUGUCUGGUAAGAACACAGGAAGGUAAGAUAUACUCAACAAAUUUUUAAGUGCACAAUACAGUGUUGUUAACUAUACAUACAGUGUUUUACAUCAGAUCUCUAGAACGUUUUCAUCUUGAGUAACUAAAACAUUAUACCUGUUGAACAGUAACUCCCCAUUUCCCCUGACAGCCCCCUUCUAUUCUGUUUCUGUGAGUUUGACUAUUUUAGAAAUCUCAUGUAAGUGAAAUCAUGCAGUAUUUGUCCUUUUGUGACUUUUAGUCUUUAUUCAACAUCCAAGCACAUGCAUAGUUUUUCUUGACAGCUUUUUUCUUUGAUAUAAAUCAGACUUUCUGUUUCUUUACAUACGCUAUAAAUUUGUUGAAAACUGGAAAUUUUACGUAACAUAUUGUGGCAACUCUGGAUUUGGUAUUUGUUCCCCUGGGGGUUGUUAUUGCUGGUUUAUUAUUAUUGUUGUGUUGUUUCAUUAUUUGCUUAGACUUUAUCUGCAAAAUCCUCUAUGGUGUGUGCCUGCUGAUUUCUCCACUGUUGUUUUAAUUUGCAUUUCUAGUUUUUAGCUGGUCAUUUUAGGGGAUUUCUAUGCAUCUGUAUUGCUUAAUGAUUAUUCAAUUAUUGGUUGAAGGCUGUAUUGAAAAACCUUGAGUCAGUAGGUCUUCAUCCUAUGCUGAUGUGUCUGUGCAUUCAAUGUUCAGGCAAUUUUCCAGUCUUCCUCCACUUUGCUUCCCUCUGAGCGCUUCCAGGUCUUCCUGCUCAUGUGCACAUCCUCAUUAGUUCAGGGAUAUGUGGUGAGCAUGGGCUUUCUUAGGUUUUCCCUACAUAUGCACACAGCCUCCCACUCCAGCAGAGAUAUGCGGAGAGCUUAUUUAGCCCCUCAUUUCUAGACUUUCUUCCUGUUAAUUUAAAAAUUAGUCUGCCCAUCUCUUGCCCCAAAUGGGACUGCAAUCUCAGACUAGCGGAGCUAUGCAUCUUCCCUGUUUUUGUCCCUCUAACUUUACUGUUUUUAACUAACCCUACUACUGGGCAUGGGCUCCUUUCCUUCUACUCCAAAUCAAGUGAGCCCACUGUAGCAGAGAGGCUGCUAAUGUUCACUGUCAUUCCUACACUGUUAGCACUACCUCACUGAUCAAGCUGGGGAGCGGAAUGGGAGCAGCCCCUGGUAAGAACGCCUCAGAGUCUCACUGAUCUUCCAAAGUUCAGCAGCUUCUCAAUUUUGGUUGUUUCCCUUUGGUUGAUUUUUGGAGCCCUGAAAUGGUUGUUUUUCUUCUUUUUUCAGUUUUGUAGUAAUUUUUUUUGGGGGGGGCCGGUGGGGAGCUUCUUCACUCCAGUAUCACCAGAAAUUUCCUUAUUUUUAUUUAUUUGUUACGUACUGGAGUAAUCUCUUUUCUGUGUAUUUAUUAAUUUUUUCUUUAUUUUCCCCAACUUUUUAUAUUGAAAAUCUUCAUAAUCUGUAGAAAAUAAACACCUAUAUACCCUGCAUUUAGAUUUACCAAUUGUUUACUUUCUACAUUUGUUUUAUAUUUGUCUGUAAAUAUACAUAUGUAUGCAUGUACAUAGUAUGUACAUGUAUAUAAAAACAUUUUUCCUUAACCAUGAAGAUUAUUUGCAGACACCCUGAGUAUUCCUUCCUAAAUACUUCAGCAUACAUUUUCUAAGAACAAAAACAUUUUAUUUCUUAAAUACAAUUGUCAUAUUUAGGACAUUGAAUAUUGAUAAAUAUUUAUAUACAUAUACACUUAAAAAAUUUUUUUUAUUUAGGAGAUGGGAUCUUGCUCUGUCACCCAGGCUGGAGAGCAGUUGCUCAAAUCACUGCAACUGAACCGAGACUUCAACUGUUGGGUUCAAAUGAUCCUCCCCGCUCAGCCUCUUGAAUAGCUGGGACUACAGAUCUUUGCUGUUCACCUUCAAGCUGAGGACUUACCACUUUUCUUCGAUUAUGAAAAAUGCUCAGCCAAUAGCUAUUCAUUAAACAAAUAUUUAUGAGGUGUCA